GACGAACGCUGGCGGCGUGCUUAACACAUGCAAGUCGAACGGUGAAGCGCCUUCCUUUUUGGUGGGUGUGGAUGAGUGGCGAACGGGUGAGUAACACGUGAGUAACCUGCCCCCUUCUUCUGGAUAACCGCAUGAAAGUGUGGCUAAUACGGGAUAUUCUGGGCCUGUCGCAUGAUGGGUCUGGGAAAGAUAUUGUUUCGGUGGGGGAUGGGCUCGCGGCCUAUCAGCUUGUUGGUGGGGUGAUGGCCUACCAAGGCGGUGACGGGUAGCCGGCCUGAGAGGGUGGACGGUCGCACUGGGACUGAGACACGGCCCAGACUCCUACGUGAGGCAGCAGUGGGGAAUAUUGCACAAUGGGCGCAAGCCUGAUGCAGCGACGCCGCGUGAGGGAUGGAGGCCUUCGGGUUGUGAACCUCUUUCGCCAGUGAAGCAGGCCUGCCUCGUUUGUGGGUGGGUUGACGGUAGCUGGAUAAGAAGCGCCGGCUAACUACGUG
rnacentral:rRNA from 1 species